CCCCUAGAUGUUCUGGGCCGCACGCGCGCUACACUGAACAGUUCAACAAGUCUUAACCUUGGCCGAUAGGUCUGGGUAAUCUUUGAACGCUGUUCGUGAUUGGGAUAGACCUUUGCAAUUAUGGGUCUUCAACGAGGAAUUCCAAGUAAACGCAAGUCAUCAGCUUGCAUUGAUUACGUCCCUGCCCUUUGUACACACCGCCCGUCGCACCUACCGAUUGAAUGGUCCGGUGAAAUCUCGGGACGGCGGCUUGGUCGCUUGCGUCCGACUGCUGAAACUUGAUUAAACCAUAUCAUUUAGAGGAAGGUGAAGUCGUAACA
rnacentral:rRNA from 1 species